CAGUAGCCGCGGGAAAACGUAGGUGGCAAGCGUUGUCCGGAAUUAUUGGGCGUAAAGGGCUCGCAGGCGGUUUCUUAAGUCUGAUGUGAAAGCCCCCGGCUCAACCGGGGAGGGUCAUUGGAAACUGGGAAACUUGAGUGCAGAAGAGGAGAGUGGAAUUCCACGUGUAGCGGUGAAAUGCGUAGGGAUGUGGAGGAACACCAGUGGCGAAGGCGACUCUCUGGUCUGUAACUGACGCUGAGGAGCGAAAGCGUGGGGAGCGAACAGGAUUAGAUACCCCUGUAGUCCCUGUCUCUUAUAU
rnacentral:rRNA from 1 species